rnacentral:rRNA from 1 species
UACGGAGGGAGCUAGCGUUGUUCGGAAUGACUGGGCGUAAAGGGCGCGUAGGCGGAUGACACAGUCAGGCGUGAAAUUCCCGGGCUCAACCUGGGGGCUGCGCUUGAUACAUGUUGUCUUGAGUUCGGAAGAGGGUCGUGGAAUUCCCAGUGUAGAGGUGAAAUUCGUAGAUAUUGGGAAGAACACCGGUGGCGAAGGCGGCGACCUGGUCCGAUACUGACGCUGAGGCGCGAAAGCGUGGGGAGCAAACAGG